ACUCCUGAAGGAACAUGAAUAAGCUCCAUCACUACAAGUCUACCAAUGAUGAAAACAUUCUCAUAACUGCACAGUAAAACACAAACCCAUUGCACAGUUCAAAACAUAGGCAGAAAACAACCAAAUUUAUACAGACCCUGCCUGAGAACCUAUUUAUAUUGCCGUUAGCAUGGAAGUGCCGUUUGGAAAUGCUUUUGUAGACUGGAGUUGUACCAACACUCCUAUCUUCUGGAAAUGUCAACACAGGUUUGUUAAGCAUAUGAUGGAGAUGGCCGAAACAACUUCAGGUAGGUGAGAGAAAUGCCCAUAUGAUCCUCUGUGUGCAGAUCCUCUGUAAUGAGAGACAGCUGGGAACCCAGGAUGGGCUUUUGCUGCUUUAAUUAAAAUUGUGAUUCAACUUCUCACAGAGAAGUCUUUUAGUAGAAUUACGUAACAGACUAGAAAACAACCUCCGUAGGAGGGAAGCUGUUAUUCUCCUAUAUUUGUACUUUGCAUUCCUCUAUAUUUGGUGAACCAUCAAUGGCAGUACCACAUCUCUCAUCAUUCACAACAUGAAACUCCUUGAUUUACCUUUCAAUGAUUUAAUUUUAUUUAUUUAUUUUAAUGCCAGGCCACUUUAUUGAGCACUCUCAGGAAAUGGGCACUUGAAAACCUUCGGCAUUCUUAUGAAGACCCAUAACAAGCAGAAAUCCAUCUACACCCUCCUGCUUCCUGGGGAGCAACAAGGCAAAAGCCUGCUAGCAGUGACUAACAGAUUCCUAAAGGUAUCCUAGCUGGCAACACUGUCAGAACAAAUCUCCUGGUACUCUUCUGUAUGCAAAGGAGCCAAUGUGAUCUUUAAUAAUUAUUCCUGUCUUGGAGAAAUAGCAACAGGCUACAGGAGAGAUUCACACUCUGUUCAGACUUCUGGAUGGGAGAGCAUGUGUUCAUUACGGAUAUACACAGAGGUUAAGAAGAAUAAGCAGUACUGCUCCAAAGAGAGAACAGGAACAGUAAUAACUAACUGUGUAGAUAUCUAGAUGAGAUGGGCGUGGAAGAUGUUUGACUUCACUUGAAUCAACUGGGAAAAGCCAGGAAUAGAACCAAUGCAGAGACAAAACAGCUGCGCUUUGUGGACCAUGGAUUUCUUGCUGAUCCAAAUGCCAAAUACUUGCACCUGCACAAUUGCAGAACACAAUCAAAGAUGGACACUCAAAAGGGAGGAAGGCUAUAGCGAGAUCUUCCUUGUGUCAUGUGAAGAUGGGAGAAACUUUCAUUGUGAAUAAAGAUGCUGCUCCUGCCUCCCAGGUUUGGUUUAAAAGAGCUGCAGACAAAAUGCACUUGUAGAAUGACACAUUUUACUACACUGGAUUCAGAUCACCUUCAGAUAAGUCCACGCCUUUGACAAAACCAAGUGCAAAAAUGAAGGCCCUUCACAAUUCUGCCACCAUGCACUUCAAAAGAUGUUUCAAUAGCCAGAACAACACGGGUCUAUGUUCUUACCGUGAUGCGACUCGGAAGUAUUUCUGGAUGAAGUAACACAUGAUUGCAAGGGGAACCAGGGCAAUGAGAAACAUCGGUGUGACAUAUGAAAUCACAGCCAAGGCAGAUACACACAGCAAAGUGGAGCGACUCAAGCACUCCAGGGUGGCAGGAAUAUGCUGGGUUAAGUAAGAGAAGUACACAGAAUUAGAGAAAUAAAUGCACUGCAUACAACUUAAUAACAGCAUUAUUUCCUAUUACGUUCUUUUACUCCCAAAGAUAAAAAUAAAGUCAUAAUAUAAAAUCAAAGCUCUGAAGCACUAAACAUAGAGGUUUUUGGAUUUACUGCUGGAUUUUGGGAAAGCACUGCAGCCCAGAAUAAACAUGGAAAUCUGAAUUUCAGUCAUUAAUAUUUCAAGCAACAGCAUUUGCCUUUUUCUCAAUUCAUUUGCUCGUGUAUCUCAAUCAAAUACAUUUACCCACUUUUUAAACAAGUGGGUGCUCUUAGUUUAAGGAUAUUGCUAUCGAUCUACUUUCUCUUCCCUUUUCACUAAGAUGGAAAAAAAUAAGCAAAGCUUUUUAUGACUGCGGGUAUCUUAAUUAAAUAAGCAUUUUCCCAGUGUGCAUUUAAAGCUGAGGAAUUCAUCUGGAACCAGAAAGUUAUGAAGCAAAGUGAUGCAAUAUUCAAAAUCAUAGAUCAGCUGCAAAUCUCACCCAAGUAAGAGAAUGCAAUAAUUCAGACUGAGAAAAAUAAGGUACUGUGGGAGCUCAAAUGUACUUAGUGAGUACCUGGUCGAUGGUGUUGCAAUCAGCUGAAAAUCUGUUCAAUAUACUUCCCAGAGGUGUCGUUUCAAAAAACCUAAAAUGAAGCAAUGAAUGGGAAAGAUCGUAGCAGCCAUACUAAACUACUUCUUAAUUGCUUUUUUGCCUUCCAUAAACUAUGUGCUGUGCUACAAACACAAGGCAAUAAAUCAACAAACAGGAUGAAGUUUCUCAUGUUUCCCCGUAACCACAGCUUCCCUAAUAAAACAGCAGUCUCAACCAUCCCAACAACAACCACCAUCUCCUCAGCUCCCUUUACUGCCCAGCUGUGUAAAUCCCACAAUUACAUUCGCUUUCACAUUUGCAAUUUUGCAACUCUUCAAUUUAUGAAGAAUGCAAGGAAAGCUCAAUCACAAGUCUUGACAUUUUCCCGAGAAUAAAAAGAACAACUGCUGGCACAACGUAUUCAAAGUCCUUUCCUUUACAUUUGCCCAUCCAAGAUACAUACUUUGUUAUUGUUGUGUAGUUAACUGUUCCCUAACUUGUGCAUGGUGAAUCCAAAGUCUAAUUCUGUCUUGAAAAAAGGUGUUUUUUUUUAAUGAAGUUUUCAAUAUUUCUUCUUCCCUCAUGACUUCUGAGCUAAAUAUAAAGCAUAGUUUGUAUUAUAAUCAGAGCAAUACCUCAUCGGUGCCAAAAUAAUCUUAUUUAAUAAAGAAGCGUGCAGCUUUUUGGUGACUUUCAAGCCAGUCCAUUCCACUGCUAUGGAUGUGACAAGACACAGAACAAUCCCAAGGCAGCAGAGAAUGCUGAAAACUUUUGAAUAUGGAGAGUGGUUGAAAACCUAAGAAACAAAGAAAGAGCAAUACAGAAUCCAUCAUAAAUUAAACUUAAAAACCAAGAAAAAUAAAUGCAGGACUGAAAAAAUAUAAGGAAUAAAUCCUUCUUUCUCCCCCAGAUUUUCCCAAAAUUAAAUAUCCAGUGACUUCACGUUAAGCCCAAGUUUUUUAUCCUUUGGAAAAGGGACUGUUUGAAAGAAAGCAAGAGAGAAACUCAGAAUUUAAAAUCAUACAAAACUAGAAAGAAAUCUGAUCGAUAAUUCUGAAAAUUUUAUCUCAAGGAAAAAAACCACCAACAGCAUCUAGAAAGCAAUUCCUAUGGCUCUGCUGACCCGGCCUAUUCUUUGACUGAGAACAGAAUUUAAGGUAUUAUUUUUAAAUAUUAACUUCAUAUUAAAAUCUGCCAUCAAUAAAACAACUUUUAGGGUAGAAAAAACGAUCCCAUUGAAAUCAAACAUGAACCUCCCAGGCAUAUGAGUGGGAUCAUUUAGAGGCACUAAAUUCCCAUGAAGAAAGUGACCCCAGUUGUGACAAAAUCCCUCCACUAUAACUUCAUACACACAGAGUACCCUGCUUGGUAACCCUGAGGUCAGUUCCAAGUGAAUUUCAUCUGGAGAACAAGGAAAAUGGGCUAUUCAUUACAAAACCUGAAUGCCCUAUUGCAGCAAGAAUUCUAUCAUACCGGGGGAACAGAAGAACUGUAAUAUCAAAAUCACUUUAGAGACCAAAGUUUAGGCAUAGCAGCUAAUGAUGAAAACAUAAUAAUCUGGCAACAGGAGAACAACAACGCACAGAACUUAAUUGUUAGCUUUAUUGCAUUGUGCGCCUGAAACUGCAUUGACCUUCAAAAUGGCUCGUUACUGGGAGCUUCACAUACUGUAUACAAAUCUCAGAGCAGAGCUUGAGUGUGGGACUUCACCACUGGUUACCAUCUGAAGAGGGGAGUAAGUGAGGUAUCUCGUACCUCACAGUAAGAGCAGUUUUUCAGCUCUACCUCCAUCUUCCCAGAAAUAGCAUCUGAAGUCCAGCGUGCCAGGCAGUAAUCAAUGGCCACCAUCACUGUGUGCUUCAGCAGCUGGGACAGAACCAGCAGCGGCAGGAGGAGUAUUCCCGCUGCACUGAGGUACUUCCCACAUGCUCUCCAAGGCAUCUUUGCUCUCUGAUGUAGCACAGAAGACAGGUUGUCUUCAUCAUCACUUUCUGUUGCUUCUUCUGCAAUGUCAAAAAAAAAAAAAAAAAAAAAUUAGAAAAAAAAGUGUACAGCCACACUGGCUUCCUCUUAUGCAGCUUUCAUAGGAACUGGUGAGUGACAGCUUCAAAACACAAGUUAUCAUACAGCAUAAAGGCUUUCAGGUGAAAUUAUUUGCUCAAGCAAGAAGUAAUACAUGUUAAGAAGAUGCAAAAAGCAUAGUAUUAGAUGUUCAAUGUCUUCAGCCACGUUCGAGAACUUAAAAAUGUUGGCUUGAUUAAUAAAAGAAAGUGAAUUGUUCCUAAGUAAAACCUUAAACUCAGCUGUUGGCAGGUUUGAAGUUCAUCCAGCAUAAAUUAGUCAACGUUAAUUCAUCUCUCACUAUUGAAUUAUUUUAAGUGUACUAAAGUUUGACAGAUGUUAUGGCUUCUGAUGGUUUGAAAACAUUAAUCCAGAGAUAAACUCAGUGGAAACAGCACUCUUAAAAGCCACGACCCAUGUGGAAACCAAAGAUUCUUCUGCUGGUUUGAAAGUCAUUCAUUCAUUCGAAUAUAUUUUAACUGUAAAACAGUGGUGUAGCAGUGCUGGGCAUAAAGGGUGCCCUUUUACCUUCAUCUUCUUCAUCAUCUUUCAGCAGUGCUUCACGGGAAUACAUUGUCCUCCGGAGAUUUGUUCUUUCCAGAACAGUUUUAGUUUCAAUUGUAGUCUCCUAAAAAGGAAGGGUUAGUGUGUUUUCAACCACGAAAUUCAUUAGAACAUGAAUAACUGUGAGAACAUGAAUAAUCUGUUUUCAAUCAGAACAUCGAUGAGAAAUAAAGGAAGUGAGAAUCUUCCAGCAUGCAGCCAUAAAGGACUGAUGUGCCACUGCUGUGUAAACCAAAGGGCAUCAAUUGCAUAACUGACAUUCAUUGCAGUUUGUCAAUCCCAGCUCUCUCAUUCCUGGGCUCUCAACUUGGACAGAUAUUUCUAAAUUAGUAAGGACUAACAUUAACAUCUUGUUCAUUUUAUGCUGUAGUAGUAAAGAGAAAGAGGUUCUCCAAAACACUUUUAUGUGCAAAUGUGAAAAAACUACACCUAAUGAAAUUAGUGAACUCAAGUAUACCCUACACAAAGAGCUGUCAGAACUGCACAUAAACAGUGCUACUCCCAUUAAGUGGCCCAACUUAGUAUUCCUUAGACAGGAGCCAAACAAAAACCUUCUCCAGCUCCUGGUCUUGUCGAUUCAUUAGCGUCUUCCAGUGUUC